CCUANGGGUGGCAGCAGUAAGGAAUAUUGCGCAAUGGGCGAAAGCCUGACGCAGCAACGCCGCGUGCGGGACGAAGGCCCUCGGGUUGUAAACCGCUUUCAGUAGGGAAGAAAAUGACGGUACCUACAGAAGAAGCCCCGGCCAACUACGUGCCAGCAGCCGCGGUAACACGUAGGGGGCGAGCGUUGUCCGGAUUCAUUGGGCGUAAAGAGCUCGUAGGCGGUUUCGUAAGUCGGAUGUGAAAACUCCAGGCUCAACUUGGAGACGCCAUUCGAUACUGCGAUGACUAGAGUCCGGUAGGGGAGUGUGGAAUUCCUGGUGUAGCGGUGAAAUGCGCAGAUAUCAGGAGGAACACCGGCGGCGAAGGCGGCACUCUGGGCCGGUACUGACGCUGAGGAGCGAAAGCGUGGGUAGCAAACAGGAUUAGAUACCCCUNUANUC
rnacentral:rRNA from 1 species